AAGGUCAUCCCAUGGUCACGUG
rnacentral:miRNA from 1 species